rnacentral:pre_miRNA from 13 species
GAUGUUUUGCUGAAGCUGGUAAAAGAGAACCAGAUCGAUUGUUACACGGAUUUGGUCCCCUUCAACCAGCUGUAGCUGUGCAUUCAU